rnacentral:rRNA from 1 species
GAUGAACGCUCGCGGCAGGCCUAACACAUGCAAGUCGAGGGAGAAGCCCUUUCGGGGGCAGAAACCGGCGCACGGGUGCGUAACGCGUAUGCAACCUACCUUUCACAGGGGGAUAGCCCGAAGAAAUUUGGAUUAAUACCCCAUAAUAUUGUUGGAUGGCAUCAUUUGGCAAUUAAAACUGCGGUGGUGAAAGAUGGGCAUGCGUCCUAUUAGCUAGUUGGAGUGGUAACGGCACCCCAAGGCUACGAUAGGUAGGGGUCCUGAGAGGGAGAUCCCCCACACUGGUACUGAGACAGGGACCAGACUCCUACGGGAGGCAGCAGUGAGGAAUAUUGGUCAAUGGUCGGAAGACUGAACCAGCCAUGCCGCGUGCAGGAAGAAUGCCUUAUGGGUUGUAAACUGCUUUUAUAUGGGAAGAAUAAGGCGUACGUGUACGUUGAUGACGGUACCAUAUGAAUAAGCAUCGGCUAACUCCGUG